CAGUCGAGCGGGGGAAGGUAGCUUGCUACCGGACCUAGCGGCGGACGGGUGAGUAAUGCUUAGGAAUCUGCCUAUUAGUGGGGGACAACAUCUCGAAAGGGAUGCUAAUACCGCAUACGUCCUACGGGAGAAAGCAGGGGAUCUUCGGACCUUGCGCUAAUAGAUGAGCCUAAGUCGGAUUAGCUAGUUGGUGGGGUAAAGGCCUACCAAGGCGACGAUCUGUAGCGGGUCUGAGAGGAUGAUCCGCCACACUGGGACUGAGACACGGCCCAGACUCCUACGGGAGGCAGCAGUGGGGAAUAUUGGACAAUGGGGGGAACCCUGAUCCAGCCAUGCCGCGUGUGUGAAGAAGGCCUUAUGGUUGUAAAGCACUUUAAGCGAGGAGGAGGCUACUCUAGUUAAUACCUAGAGAUAGUGGACGUUACUCGCAGAAUAAGCACCGGCUAACUCUGUGCCAGCAGCCGCGGUAAUACAGAGGGUGCGAGCGUUAAUCGGAUUUACUGGGCGUAAAGCGUGCGUAGGCGGCUUAUUAAGUCGGAUGUGAAAUCCCCGAGCUUAACUUGGGAAUUGCAUUCGAUACUGGUGAGCUAGAGUAUGGGAGAGGAUGGUAGAAUUCCAGGUGUAGCGGUGAAAUGCGUAGAGAUCUGGAGGAAUACCGAUGGCGAAGGCAGCCAUCUGGCCUAAUACUGACGCUGAGGUACGAAAGCAUGGGGAGCAAACAGGAUUAGAUACCCUGGUAGUCCAUGCCGUAAACGAUGUCUACUAGCCGUUGGGGCCUUUGAGGCUUUAGUGGCGCAGCUAACGCGAUAAGUAGACCGCCUGGGGAGUACGGUCGCAAGACUAAAACUCAAAUGAAUUGACGGGGGCCCGCACAAGCGGUGGAGCAUGUGGUUUAAUUCGAUGCAACGCGAAGAACCUUACCUGGCCUUGACAUACUAGAAACUUUCCAGAGAUGGAUUGGUGCCUUCGGGAAUCUAGAUACAGGUGCUGCAUGGCUGUCCCCA
rnacentral:rRNA from 1 species